UAAUCUCACCCCAAAAUUCAUUUUUUGGUGGUGGACUUGGAUGUUGCCGUGUUACGGCUCGUCUGGAAUGUCUCAGUUGUGACCCGCUCGUCGGCGUAAACAGUGUGAUAGGUAUCUUCACUGGUCAGCUUCUCCGGAGGCGCGCUUUCAGGUGGAUGUCUGGCUGCCAACCGUCUUUUAGACAAUCUCUGACA
rnacentral:misc_RNA from 1 species